rnacentral:rRNA from 1 species
UACAGAGGGUGCAAGCGUUGUCCGGAUUUAUUGGGCGUAAAGAGCUCGUAGGCGGUUCCGUAAGUCGUGAAGUCAAAUCUCUGGGCUCAACCCAGAAUCGCUUCCGAUACUGCGGUGACUGGAGUCCGGUAGGGGAGUGUGGAAUUCCUGGUGUAGCGGUGAAAUGCGCAGAUAUCAGGAGGAACACCAACAGCGAAGGCAGCACUCUGGGCCGGUACUGACGCUGAGGAGCGAAAGCAUGGGGAGCGAACAGG